GCGCAGUGCAUUGAAAGUGUUUUCUUACCAGUCUGGUUGGAAAGAAAAGAUUCAAGAGGAAUCAAAACAAAGCAACUGUUGUUAAGUUAGAGAAAAUUUUAGAGAUUUGCUGUAAACAAAAUUUCAUUGGCCUUCAGGAGGUCGUCUUCUUUAUAAUCAAUGAAUCGGCAAGGUUUGUUUACAACGCUUGGAGCUUUGGCUGAUGCACGAAGUGAUUUGUUUACAUUUCUUUGAUUCCACCCUCAAACAUUGCCGGACCUCUUACGAAAAAGAUCCGGCAGCAAAUUUAUAUGGGCUAAGGUUUGAGGGUGGAAUCGAAGAAAUGGGGUUAUGUUGCUGCUUGCAAAAGCUAGGUCAAGGACAGAAUACUUUUUCCGGAACCAGCGGAACCGGUAUUUCACCAUGUUUGGAGGAAUGUGUCAAAACCUUCUAGUUGCAUUGUAGCGGUUUCGGCAGGUUUGUCAUCCGAGAUCGCAGCAGGAGUUGUUUUGGAGGAACCAUCUCGAUCCCAUUACGGACAUCACGGGAAACUUCGGCGGUAGUAGGUUCAACAGCGUCGGCGAUCUUGAUGGCAUCGAUUGCCGAUUGAAUCUUUUGGAUGUUUAUCACUAAUUUCCGGAGCAGGACCUCGUCUCGUGACUGUUGGUAAAAAUU